ensembl:lncRNA
UGGCUCAAGACCAAGGGUUUUUCCCAGAGGGGGAAUCCACUUCGUACUAUCAAGGUCACGGGGCAAUGCCUCCGUGCCUUAGACAUGUGGAAGAAACCUUGGUUCUUCAAUCAGGGCCCGGUGCUGGAAGCUCCUUGUUGCCAUGUAACACUAGCGACGGACGCAUCCCUCACCGGCUGGGGUGCGGUCAUGAGUGGCCACCCUGCCCGCGGUCUGUGGAGCAGUCGCCAUCUAACAUGGCAUAUCAAUUGUCUAGAGAUGCUAGCCGUCUAUCGGGCACUAAAAUAUUUCCUCCCAGACCUGAGAGGCCACCAUGUGUUGUUGCGUACCGACAACACAUCGGUGGUCUCUUACAUCAACCACCAGGGAGGUCUGCGUUCUGCGUCUGGCGCACCAGAUCCUUGUGAGGUCCCAGGACAAACUCCUCUCACUCAGAGCAGUGUAUAUUCCUGGGAAUUUGAAUGUGGGUAUUGCUCUGCUCCCGGGAGUUCUGGUGAGAGUACGCCGGGACGGGGUCCGUCUGCUGUUAGUAGCCCCGUUCUGGCCGGGCCGAGUAUGGUUCUCAGAUCUGGUCUCGCUCCUCGACGGCUCUCCAUGGGAGAUAACGAUCAGGACAGACCUACUCUCACAGGCGCAGGGCAUAAUAAUUCACCCUCGCCCGGAGUUAUGGAAACUGUGGGUGUGGCCCCUGAGGGGGCACAGCUCAUAGCAUCCGGUCUCUCAACCGAGGUUGUUGAGACCAUCCUCCAAUCCAGAGCUCCCUCAACGAGGAAACUGUACGCCCUGAGGUGGAAACUCUUCACCUCAUGGUGCAGAGACCAUCAGCUUGACCCAGUUAACUGCCCAGUUGGUACAGUGCUGGAGUUUCUGCAAGCCAGGUUCUCUGCAGGGUUGACCCACUCCACACUGAAGGGUGACGUGGCAGCCAUUGUGGCCUACCAUGUCCCUCUUGGUGGUCAGUCUUUCGGAAGACACCCCCUAGUUACACGUUUCCUCCGCGUUGCGCUGAGGCUGAGGUCUCCAGUACGGUCCCGUAUUCCCCCCUGGGACUUGGUUGUGGUGUUAGAGGCACUUUGUAGAGCUCCAUUCGAGCAAAUAGAAGAUAUAUCAGACAGACAUCUGACCCUUAAGACUGCCUUCCUGUUGGCUAUUACCUCUCUGAGGAGAGUUGGAGACCUUCAGGCCCUCUCAGUGGCCCCCACUUAUCUCGACUUUGAGCCCGGCAUGGCCAAAGCGUUCAUAUACCCUCGAGGCUAUCAAUGUAUCCUAUGAGUCCUCUGGUCUUC